rnacentral:rRNA from 1 species
GGGAGGUAGGUGACAAUAAAUAACAAUACAGGGUUCUUUUGGAUCUUGUAAUUGGAAUGAGUACAAUUUAAAUCUCUUAACGAGGAACAAUUGGAGGGCAAGUCUGGUGCCAGCAGCCGCGGUAAUUCCAGCCCCAAUAGCGUAUAUUAAAGUUGUUGCAGUUAAAAAGCUCGUAGUUGAAUUUCGGGAUCAAUAUAUCGGUCGUGCCUUGGUACGUACUGGUAUCAUUGGUUUCUCCUUUCUGACGAACCAUGAUGUCAUUAAUUUGGUGUUAUGGGAAGUUAGGACUGUUACUUUGAAAAAAUUAGAGUGUUUAAAGCAGGCUUUAGCUUGAAUACAUUAGCAUGGAAUAAUGAAAUAGGACGUUCGAACCUAUUUUGUUGGUUUCUAGGAUCAACGUAAUGAUUAAUAGGGAUAGUUGGG